rnacentral:sRNA from 21 species
ACCUGUUGCGGGCGGCGAUCAGAGGGUGCCCGCAGCACCAGACAGAACACCGUGCCACGGGGAACAUCGGGGCACUUCAGGGCGUU